UGGGGAAUUUUGGACAAUGGGGGAAACCCUGAUCCAGCAAUGCCGCGUGUGUGAAGAAGGCCUUCGGGUUGUAAAGCACUUUUGUCCGGGAAGAAAACGUCUGUGCUAAUACCAUAGAUGGAUGACGGUACCGGAAGAAUAAGGACCGGCUAACUACGUGCCAGCAGCCGCGGUAAUACGUAGGGUCCAAGCGUUAAUCGGAAUUACUGGGCGUAAAGCGUGCGCAGGCGGUUGUGUAAGACAGAUGUGAAAUCCCCGGGCUUAACCUGGGAACUGCAUUUGUGACUGCACGGCUAGAGUGUGAUAGAGGGGGGUAGAAUUCCACGUGUAGCAGUGAAAUGCGUAGAUAUGUGGAGGAAUACCAAUGGCGAAGGCAGCCCCCUGGAUCAAUACUGACGCUCAUGCACGAAAGCGUGGGGAGCAAACAG
rnacentral:rRNA from 1 species